UGAUCCUGGCUCAGGACGAACGCUGGCGGCGUGCUUAACACAUGCAAGUCGAACGGGAGGAAAAGAGAAGCUUGCUUCUUUUUGAAUCUAGUGGCAAACGGGUGAGUAACACGUAAACAACCUGCCUUCAGGAUGGGGACAACAGACGGAAACGACUGCUAAUACCGAAUGUGUUCCGGAGACCGCAUGAUUUCCGGAAGAAAGGAUGGCCUCUAUUUAUAAGCUAUCGCCUGAAGAGGGGUUUGCGUCUGAUUAGGCAGUUGGUGAGGUAACGGCCCACCAAACCUACGAUCAGUAGCCGGUCUGAGAGGAUGAACGGCCACACUGGAACUGAGACACGGUCCAGACUCCUACGGGAGGCAGCAGUGGGGAAUCUUCCGCAAUGGACGAAAGUCUGACGGAGCAACGCCGCGUGAGUGAUGACGGCCUUCGGGUUGUAAAGCUCUGUGAUCGGGGACGAAUGGCUGGUAUGCUAAUACCAUAUCAGAGUGACGGUACCCGAAUAGCAAGCCACGGCUAACUACGUGCCAGCAGCCGCGGUAAUACGUAGGUGGCAAGCGUUGUCCGGAAUUACUGGGUGUAAAGGGAGCGUAGGCGGGAUGCCAAGUCAGCUGUGAAAACUAUGGGCUUAACCUGUAGACUGCAGUUGAAACUGGUAUUCUUGAGUGAAGUAGAGGUUGGCGGAAUUCCGAGUGUAGCGGUGAAAUGCGUAGAUAUUCGGAGGAACACCGGUGGCGAAGGCGGCCAACUGGGCUUUAACUGACGCUGAGGCUCGAAAGUGUGGGGAGCAAACAGGAUUAGAUACCCUGGUAGUCCACACUGUAAACGAUGAUAACUAGGUGUGGGGGGUCUGACCCCUUCCGUGCCGCAGCUAACGCAAUAAGUUAUCCACCUGGGGAGUACGACCGCAAGGUUGAAACUCAAAGGAAUUGACGGGGACCCGCACAAGCAGUGGAUUAUGUGGUUUAAUUCGAAGCAACGCGAAGAACCUUACCAGCACUUGACAUCCGACUAACGAAGUAGAGAUACAUUAGGUGCCCUUCGGGGAAAGUCGAGACAGGUGGUGCAUGGUUGUCGUCAGCUCGUGUCGUGAGAUGUUGGGUUAAGUCCCGCAACGAGCGCAACCCCUGCCAUUAGUUGCUACGCAAGAGCACUCUAAUGGGACCGCUACCGACAAGGUGGAGGAAGGUGGGGACGACGUCAAAUCAUCAUGCCCCUUAUGUGCUGGGCUACACACGUAAUACAAUGGCCAUCAACAAAGAGAAGCAAUACCGCGAGGUGGAGCAAAACUUCAAAAAUGGUCUCAGUUCGGACUGCAGGCUGCAACCCGCCUGCACGAAGUUGGAAUUGCUAGUAAUCGUGGAUCAGCAUGCCACGGUGAAUACGUUCCCGGGUCUUGUACACACCGCCCGUCACACCAUGGGAGUUGGUAACACCCGAAGUCAGUAGUCUAACCGCAAGGAGGACGCUGCCGAAGGUGGGAUUGACGACUGGGGUGAAGUCGUAACAAGGUAGCCGUAUCAGAAGGUGCGGCUG
rnacentral:rRNA from 1 species